AUUGAACGCUGGCGGCAGGCCUAACACAUGCAAGUCGAGCGGCAACGGAAAGUAGCUUGCUACUUUGCCGGCGAGCGGCGGACGGGUGAGUAAUGUCUGGGAAACUGCCUGAUGGAGGGGGAUAACUACUGGAAACGGUAGCUAAUACCGCAUAACGUCGCAAGACCAAAGAGGGGGACCUUCGGGCCUCUUGCCAUCAGAUGUGCCCAGAUGGGAUUAGCUAGUAGGUGGGGUAAUGGCUCACCUAGGCGACGAUCCCUAGCUGGUCUGAGAGGAUGACCAGCCACACUGGAACUGAGACACGGUCCAGACUCCUACGGGAGGCAGCAGUGGGGAAUAUUGCACAAUGGGCGCAAGCCUGAUGCAGCCAUGCCGCGUGUAUGAAGAAGGCCUUCGGGUUGUAAAGUACUUUCAGCGGGGAGGAAGGCGGUGAGGCUAAUAACCUCAUCGAUUGACGUUACCCGCA
rnacentral:rRNA from 1 species